rnacentral:rRNA from 1 species
UGGGGAAUUUUGGACAAUGGGCGAAAGCCUGAUCCAGCAAUGCCGCGUGUGUGAAGAAGGCCUUCGGGUUGUAAAGCACUUUUGUCCGGAAAGAAAUCCUUGGCUCUAAUACAGUCGGGGGAUGACGGUACCGGAAGAAUAAGCACCGGCUAACUACGUGCCAGCAGCCGCGGUAGUACGUAGGGUGCAAGCGUUAAUCGGAAUUACUGGGCGUAAAGCGUGCGCAGGCGGUUUGCUAAGACCGAUGUGAAAUCCCCGGGCUCAACCUGGGAACUGCAUUGGUGACUGGCAGGCUAGAGUAUGGCAGAGGGGGGUAGAAUUCCACGUGUAGCAGUGAAAUGCGUAGAGAUGUGGAGGAAUACCGAUGGCGAAGGCAGCCCCCUGGGCCAAUACUGACGCUCAUGCACGAAAGCGUGGGGGAGCAAACAGGAUUAGAUACCCUGGUAGUCCACGCCCUAAACGAUGUCAACUAGUUGUUGGGGAUUCAUUUCCUUAGUAACGUAGCUAACGCGUGAAGUUGACCGCCUGGGGAGUACGGUCGCAAGAUUAAAACUCAAAUGAAUUGACGGGGUCAUAGCUGUUUCCU